rnacentral:tRNA from 1 species
GGUCUCAUCGUCUAACGGUUAGGACACCAGGUUCUCAUCCUGGCAAUCGGAGUUCGAUUCUCCGUGAGAUCACCA